CGAUGGAGGGGGAUAACUACUGGAAACGGUAGCUAAUACCGCAUAACGUCGCAAGACCAAAGAGGGGGACCUUCGGGCCUCUUGCCAUCGGAUGUGCCCAGAUGGGAUUAGCUAGUAGGUGGGGUAACGGCUCACCUAGGCGACGAUCCCUAGCUGGUCUGAGAGGAUGACCAGCCACACUGGAACUGAGACACGGUCCAG
rnacentral:rRNA from 1 species